rnacentral:rRNA from 1 species
UACAGAGGCCCCAAGCAUUAUCCGGAAUCACUGGGCGUAAAGGGUGUGUAGGCGGUUGUGUUAGUCUUUCGUGAAAGAUCUUCGGCUUAACCGAGGAUACGCGGCAGAAGCGGCACAACUUAGAGGUUGCGAGAGGUAAAGGGAACUCAUAGUGUAGGGGUGAAAUCCGUUGAUAUUAUGGGGAACACCAAAUGCGAAGGCACUUUACUGGCGCACACCUGACGCUGAAACACGAAAGCGUGGGAAUCGAACGGG